UUUGAAACUUAGUUAGCAAAAGUUUUUGGUCUUAUUAAUUGUUAAAAGAUGAGUUUGCGUAAGAUUAGGUUGUUGGUAAAAGUAAUAGUUUACCAAGCCUUUGAUCUUUAGUUGGUCUUAGAGGACGUACAACCACACUGGAACUGAGAUAAGGUCCAGGCUAUUUUUAGCCAGCAGUGAGGAAUAUUGGACAAUGAACGAAAGUUUGAUCCAGCAAUAUUAUGUGAAUGAUUGACGGCUAAUUUUUGGUUGUAAAGUUCUUUCGUUAAAAAUGAUAAUGACAUUAUUUAAAGAAGUUUUAGUCCCGGCUAAUCUCGUGCCAGCAGCCGCGGUAAUACGGGAGGGGCAAGCGUUAUUCGUAAUUACUGGGCGUACAGCGUCCGUAGAUUGUAAUAUAAGUUCUAUGUUAAAAUUUAAAGUUUAACUUUAAGAAAAGAUAAAAGACUGUUUUACUUGAGUUUAAUACGGAAGAGUAGAAUUUCAUGUUAAGGAGUAAAUUCCAAGAAUACAUGAAGGAACAUCGUUAGCGAAAGCAACUCUUUAGUACAAACUGACAUUGAGGGACGAAAGUGUAAGGAGCAAACAGGAUUAGAUACCCUGGUAGUUUACACUGUAAAUUCUGAGUGCUGUAAUUUAAAAAAAAUUUAGAUUUUUUAAGCUAACGCCAUAAGCAUUCCGCCUGAGGAGUACGAUCGCAAGAUUGGAACUCAAAGGAAUUGACGGGAGCCUACAACGAGUGGUGGAGCAUGUGGUUUAAUGCGAUAAUCCGCGCAAAACCUUACCAACUCUUGACAUAUUGAAAAAAAAUUUGUGUUAAUUCAAAUUUUUUUAUCAUUAAUUAAAAAAUUAAUUAAUUUUCACUACAGGUGUUGCACGACUGUCGUCAGCUCGUGUCGUAAGAUGUUUGGUUCAUUCCUUUUAACGAGCGUAACUCUUAUUUUUAAUAAUUUACUUCCAAUUUUUUUUACUCCUUUUUGGUUAAUAAAUUUGUAGUUAAUACUCAAAAAAAUUGUUAACCAAAAAAAGUUGAAAAAAUUGUGCUUUAAAAAGACUGUGAAUCUUAAAAAAAUUCAAAGGAAGGUAAGAAUUAAGUCAAGUCACUGUGGCCCUUAUGAGUUGGGCUACACACGUGCUACAAUGAAAAUGACAAAAAGUAACAAAAAUAAAAACUUUUAGUUAAUCUUUAAAAAUUUUCUUAGUUCGGAUUGUAAACUGCAACUCGUUUACAUGAAGGUGGAAUCACAAGUAAUCGCAAAUCAGAACGUUGCGGUGAAUACGUACCUUGGCUUUGUACACACCGCCCGUCACAUGCAGAAAGCUAGUUUUACUUGAAGAUUAAACUCUAUUUUUAUUUUUUUAUAAAAUAAAAAAGUUAGUUCAUUGAAAAAUUAGUAAUUUGGAUGAAGUCGUAACAAGGUAGCUGUACGGGAACGUGUAGCUGGAA
rnacentral:rRNA from 11 species